GCACACUGUUGACAAGCCAAGACGCCAAGAGUGCAAGUAGCUCAAGCCAAGCAAGGUCGAAGCCAGGUUGACCACGUGACCGUAUGUCAACGGACCGUCAAGGCCUGUUUCAUCGGACCGCUCUGCCGAUCUCUCGGCGUGGAGGAAACGUAAACAAAGGAGCUGUGCGCACCUGCUUUAAACAGAAGGCAGAAAACAAUGAGCCAGCCAUCAUCGUGCAGGAAGCCGACGCCAAAUGGGCUGCUGCUGAAUCGGUCAGGCAUGCACCAGCUAGGACCAAGAAAAUGGAGCAGUGUGCCUCUUCUCAGGAGUGACUGCGGGGCUGCCACAAGGGGAGAAGGCAAGCAUGUUUCUGAUUACAAGGAUGGACAGUUGGGCUGGGCUAGUUGUCCAGCAGCUUCAAUUCCUAGGACACGAGCUGACACCGCAGGGAAUCAAGCAAUGCGAAGAUAAUGUUGAG